rnacentral:rRNA from 1 species
UACGUAGGGGACUAGCGUUGUCCGGAUUUAUUGGGCGUAAAGAGCGUGUAGGCGGCCAGGUAGGUCUGGUGUGAAAACUCGAGGCUUAACCUAGAGAUGUCAUCGGAAACCAUCUGGCUAGAGUCCGGAAGAGGAGAGUGGAAUUCCUGGUGUAGCGGUGAAAUGCGCAGAUAUCAGGAAGAACACCAAUGGCGAAAGCAGCUCUCUGGGACGGUACUGACGCUGAGACGCGAAAGCGUGGGGAGCGAACAGG